UGGUCAUUACCAAGGCUUUUAGAAUGCAGUUUCUCAUUUGCCGUGGACAUGACCACAAAACAUUUUUCCCACUAGGUUUUCUUUCUGCUACGUUGCUAGCAUUCAUCCUAUUGGGAACAUUU
ensembl:snoRNA SNORA32 small nucleolar RNA, H/ACA box 32